GCCGCACUAGAGAAAUGGUUAACUCGUCGGCCUUCUACAAGAAGAUUUGGAAGCCGAAGAUUCUGGGUUCGAGUCCCAGGUGCGGUU
rnacentral:tRNA from 1 species